AACGAACGCUGGCGGCAGGCUUAACACAUGCAAGUCGAGCGCCCCGCUAGGGGAGCGGCAGACGGGUGAGUAACGCGUGGGAACGUACCUUUUGGUUCGGAGCAACUCCGGGAAACUGGAGCUAAUACCGGAUAAGCCCUAACGGGGAAAGAUUUAUCGCCGAAAGAUCGGCCCGCGUCUGAUUAGCUAGUUGGUGAGGUAACGGCUCACCAAGGCGACGAUCAGUAGCUGGUCUGAGAGGAUGAUCAGCCACACUGGGACUGAGACACGGCCCAGACUCCUACGGGAGGCAGCAGUGGGGAAUAUUGGACAAUGGGCGCAAGCCUGAUCCAGCCAUGCCGCGUGAGUGAUGAAGGCCUUAGGGUUGUAAAGCUCUUUUGUCCGGGAAGAUAAUGACUGUACCGGAAGAAUAAGCCCCGGCUAACUUCGUG
rnacentral:rRNA from 1 species